rnacentral:rRNA from 1 species
CGAGUGGCGGACGGGUGAGUAAUGUCUGGGAAACUGCCCGAUGGGAGGGGAUAACUACUGGAAACGGUAGCUAAUACCGCAUAACGUCGCAAGACCAAAGAGGGGGACCUUCGGGCCUCUUGCCAUCGGAUGUGCCCAGAUGGGAUUAGCUAGUAGGUGGGGUAACGGCUCACCUAGGCGACGAUCCCUAGCUGGUCUGAGAGGAUGACCAGCCACACUGGAACUGAGACACGGUCCAG